rnacentral:ncRNA from 1 species
UAUAUUUGCGCGGCUGAAAGAAGCGUACAUAAUAAUCAUUAAAAUAAUAUUUGCAUG